rnacentral:rRNA from 1 species
AUUGAACGCUGGCGGAAUGCUUUACACAUGCAAGUCGAACGGCAGCACGGACUUCGGUCUGGUGGCGAGUGGCGAACGGGUGAGUAAUGUAUCGGAACGUGCCCAGUCGUGGGGGAUAACGUAGUGAAAAUUACGCUAAUACCGCAUACGAUCUAUGGAUGAAAGCGGGGGAUCGCAAGACCUCGCGCGAUUGGAGCGGCCGAUAUCAGAUUAGGUAGUUGGUGGGGUAAAGGCCCACCAAGCCAACGAUCUGUAGCUGGUCUGAGAGGACGACCAGCCACACUGGAACUGAGGCACGGUCCAGACUCCCACGGGAGGCAGCAGUGGGGAAUUUUGGACAAUGGGCGAAAGCCUGAUCCAGCCAUUCCGCGUGCAGGAUGAAGGCCCUCGGGUUGUAAACUGCUUUUGUACAGAACGAAAAGGUUUCUACUAAUACUAGGAGCUCAUGACGGUACUGUAAGAAUAAGCACCGGCUAACUACGUGCCAGCAGCCGCCGUAA